CAUCACAGAACAGGCAGAGGCAGUUCAGGGGGGAUUCUGGUUGCAUUUUCCCAGCUCUGAAGUCUGUCAGCCUCUUCAGAUGUCACUUGCUCUGUGGUAAGGAAGUGUAGUCGGCAGCUGGUGCCGUGGCAAGCAGAGAAAGGAAGUUCCCCAAGACAAAAACAUCUCGGCAGACAGUGAUCAUGGGCUACAUUUUCCAUACCAACUUCAUAGCUCCAGUGAGAAAAUAAAUUCCUGCAUCCAGGAGACGUGGAGUAAGAGAUACAGCUGCCCUUGACCAUAUUUCUUACUUCUGAGAAGAUUGCAGCAGUAAUUCAGGUAUCAACAAGUGGAGUUGACAAGAGUAACAAGUGGUCAGAGCAAAGCAUUUCAUGAUAACUGUAAUGUGCCUGCAUCAGCAGCGACUGCUUACAGUGAGAUUCACAUGACCAUUGUUUAUGAGAUAGGAAGAAUAAAAGGAGAGGGAGAAAAACAUAGGUAGUUGAUCUAAA
rnacentral:lncRNA from 1 species